rnacentral:snRNA from 1 species
GUGCUCACUUCGGCAGCACAUAUACUAAAAUUGGAAUGACACAGAGGAAUUAGCAUGGUCCCUGCCCAAGAAUGACACGCAAAUUUGUGGAGCAUCCCAUAUUUUC